GAAAAAAAAAAUAAAAAAAAAAUGGAUGGCAUUUUCGUAAAUUAUAUGAAUUUGUGGGGUGAAUAGGGCAAAACCAAUUUUCAAAAAAAAAAGAGGUUAGUUUUGUGUUUGACUUUAAGUUAUAGGUCAAUUUUGCAAAAAUCCCUUAAUAUUAUGUUUGUUGAGUUGGUUCAAGUAUUUGUAACAACUUUUUAUAUAUACAAUCUUAAACCAUUUUUGGCUUUUGCGAUGAUAAAAUGAUUUUUCACUAAAUUUCAUUCAUUAAAUGAUACAAGGUAACAUAUAGUGAAAUAUAUAUAUUCCAAGACCUGAAAAUACACAAAUGAUCAAGAAAAGAAAAAUAAAUCACACAACUUCAGCCGGAUAACGAAACAACAACGAUUAUCAAAAUUAUCUACACUAAAACGAUAGCAUCAGACUAGCAAAUAACUCUUAAGAACAAAAAGUUUAACGAUGAAAGACGAGACGGGAAAAUCUUUGUUAUACUGUUCAAGAGCAACAAAAAAUCAAACCUAAUCUAAUGACCAAAGAUAUAAAUAACUAAAGUAAAGAACCAACCAGGAGACAAACCUCAUUUUGCAAUUAGUUCUUUGAACGACCGACAAAAAGCUAACGACGAAAAAGUAAUUAAAAAAAGUAAUUCAGAAGUUAAAAGAAAAUUGGCCAUUUUCUGGUCUCCUGACGGUAAAUAAAAGACUUGUUGAAAAGUAUUUGGAGCCUAAUAAUAGUUGUCUAAUUUCAAACACCAAGAGAAUCUUCAAAAAUCACUCUAUAACUUUAAAUAUGAAAUGUUUUGCUUUAUAAAAAUAAUUGAAAAACUUCAAAUUUAAAAUGUGAAAAAUGAAAUUCUAUAUUUGAAGUUUGACUACUCAAUACAUUAAAUUUGUAGUUUCGUAUUUUUGUUUGCAUUAGUCCCUACAAUUCACAUCACAUUUUUUAUUCUAAAAUAUUUUAUUGUUUAUCGUUUUACUCUUUAUAAAUUUAAUUUUUACACAUAAAAUUAAAUAAUACUUUAAAAUAAUAUUUAAAAAAUUUAAAACUAGAUUUAGACAAUAACAAUAUACAAAAAAACUUAACAAAAAAAUAUUAAAAAAAUUACACAAAUUUAAAUAUUUCAACAAUACUAAUAGUCAGAUAAAUUUGAUCUUCAAAAUAUUGUCAAAACAAAUUUUGUGUAACCGAAGAUGCGUGUUGUUGUUAUUUUUGAUGUCUUUAUCGUACGAUUAUUUCUUCUUCGGAUCGAAUGUAAGUAUUAAUAUUAUCAAUAAAAGUUAAGUCCAUUAGCAAUAUUUUUUUAUUUUUUUCAUAUCUAAUGUAUUUACAAGUAUUAAUAUCACUCGUUUUCAAUAAGUUUUAGCUCGUAAUCUGUAAAUUAAAAGUAAAGAGAGUCAUUUUUACUUUAAAAUGCACUAGAUGAUCAUAUAUGCAUUACGAAAAUAGUUUUAUGGAAUAUUAUGGUAUUUUGCUUAAAUUUAAUAUCAAUUAUGUUAUUUCUAUUUAAAAUAUUUAUAUUUUAAUAUAAAAGUUUACGAAUUAAUUUGUUAUAAUAUUUUUAUAUAUGUGCUAGUAAAAGUUUAAUGAAUUUAAAUUAAUAUAACAAAUAUAAAAACAUAGUAUAAAAUACAAAUAGUUUUGAAAUUUUGUUUUUGGAGAACAAAAACUUUAAACUUCAAAUACAGAAUUUUAGAAGUUUCAAAAAAUAGUGUCUUUUUGGAGAUGUUCUUAGUGUCUUUCAUACCAAAGGAUAAAAUAUUUAGUGCUUAACAUAUAAGUAAAUGUGUAGUGCAUUUAGUAUAGUGUAUGUUAAAGCAUCUCCCAAAGACAUUCUAUAACUUCAAAUAUAAAGUUUUGUGUUCUCCAAAACACAACUUCAAAACUUCAAAUAAGUUUUGAGAAGAGAAACUUUAUAUUUGAAGUUUCACUAUUAAAAACUUUAAAUUUCAAGUUUCAUAUUUUUGUUUGCAUUUUGAUUCCUACAAUUACACUUCAAAAUUAUGAUUUCUAAAUAUUUUAUUGUCUAACGUUUUAAUCCUUAAAAUUUUUAUAUCUCAUAAAUAUUUAAAAAAAUUUUAAGAAAAUUAAAUAAAACUUUAAAAUAAGAUUUAAAAUAAUUUAAAACUAUAUUAAGACAACAACAAUAUACAAAAGAAACUUAACAAAAAUUAUUUUAUAAAAAUUACAUGAAUACAUAACUAUUACACAAAUAUAAAUAUCACAACAAUACUAAUAGUCAAGUAAAUUUGUUCCGAAACCUCCAAAAUCUCCAAAAUAUUCUCCAAACAAUUUUUAUUUAACCCAAGAUGGUUGUUGUUGUUACUUUUUUUAAUGUCUUUUUGGUAUAAUAUUUUCUUAUUUAGAUCGAAUAUAUUCACGAGUAUUAAUAUCAUCGAUAGAAGUUAAGUCUUUUAGCAAUAUUUUAUUUUUUUGUUCAGAUCUAAUGUAUUUACAAGUAUUAAUAUCACCCGAUUUGAACAAUUUUUAACUCGUAAUCUACAAAUUAAAAAUAAAAAGAGUAAUUUUUUACUUCAAAAUACACUAGAUAAUCAUAUAUGAAUUACGUAAAUAAUUUUAAGGAAAAUAUGGUAUUUUGCUGAAUUUUAAUAUUAAUUAUGUAUUUCUAUUUAAAGUUUUAUAUUUUAAUGUAACAUUUUAUUAAUUAAUAUUAUUGUAAUAUUUUUAUAUGUGUGCUAGUUAUUUACAGAAGUUUGAUGAAUUUAAACUAAUUAUAACAAAUAUAAGGACCACAGUAUAAAAUACAAAUAGUUUUGAAGUUAAGUUUAAAGUUUUGCUUUUGCAAAAGAACACAUUUAAACUUUAGAUAUAGAGUUUGAAAAACUUUAAAAUAAAGUGUCUUUUUGGAAGCUAUUACGGUAAAUAUGACACAAAGCUUACAAAGUUCAUGGUUAUAUUAAUAAACAUUAUGUAAACAUAUCUCUAUAAUAUUAUCUGAAAAAUUAAUUUCAUAUAUGAUGUUCUCAUGUUAAUUUUUACAAUAGUUAUUACAAAAUAACUUUAACUUUAAUAUAUUAAAUUAAACACUAAAAUGCAAUUAUUAAUAUUUUAUUUAAAUUUAUUUUCUGUUAAUAAUUGUUUCCAAACUAAUUUACUAUCAAAAAUAAAUAUCUUUUAUAUAAAUAUAUAUAGCAUUUUAUAUUUAAAAUAUGGACUUUAGAAAAACAAAUACCCUAUAUAUAAAUAAAAGGAAUUUAAAACAAAAAUGCAAUAUUUUUAAUAUUAAAAAAAUUAUAUAUAAAAAUUUAUAUCAAAGCAUGUAAUUUAAUAAAAACGAAUUUAUUUAUAUAAAUAAAAAGGAAUAGAUUAUAAAAAUAAUAAUAUAUUUAUUAAAAAUAUAGCCAUUUUUAUAUUUAAAACAUACAACUUCUGAAGACGAAUUAUUUUAUAUAUAUCAAAAAGGAUAUAUACUUAAAAUAAAAAUAUAUAACAAUUUCUCUUAUAUUUUAACAUAUUGCUUAAUCAAAAAUAAUUUCCUUUCGAAUUUUAAAAUUCAUAAAAACAUAUCGUUUUUCCUAAAUCACGUUGGUUUAAUCAAUUUAUUAUAACAUUAAAAUUUCUAAUAUUUCAUUAAUAAAAUAAAUUUGUUAUUUAGAAAUUUGUUCACAUUUGUUAGAAACAUUUUGUUGUAGGAAAUUUUUGUUAUAAAAAAUAUUUACAAUUUUCACGUUAAUAGAACAUCUUAAUUACUAUUUCUCGUGAACAACAUAAAUAGAUUCACUUAAUACUCUGCUAACCAAUUCAUUUAUCUUAAUUACUAUUUAUAAUCAAUUUUUAAUUUCCAAGUCAACAAAUUUUUUUUUAAUUACAAAUUCUCAAUCCUAAUAAUAUAUAUAUAUUCAUAUCUCUAUACAAAUUAAUAGCUGAUUAUUUAAAGUCUUAACGCUCAGCAUAAUAUUUCAAUAUCUAAGAUUUUACCGUGUUCAUAAAAAUGUCAUAUUUUGUAGAAAUCACACUCAUCGUCUUCGUUAAAGAAAUUCAUUCAUCUUUGAACAGAUGAAUGAUCAAAGUGAAAAUAAUAAAGUGACUGAGUAAAUAAAGAAAACUACAAACAAUUAUGUGGACUACACAUGUCUUCUAAGUACUCAUUGAAAAAUGUAAUAGUCUCUUAAAAGGUUUUAAUAAAUCUUACUAGAUUCUGACCCACUUUUAAAAGGGUGAAUUGGCUAUCUAGCCAAGUUUGGAGUCAACAUUAAGUAAAUAGCUUUGAUUUUGACGUUAUUAAAUUGAUAACAUUUCAUACAUAUUUUAUCCGGUUAUGUCCUUAUCAUUUCUAAGUUACCGGUGAUAAUGGCACCAAGGAUUAACUUCGACGAGAGCACAUGUCCAAGAGAAAUUGAGAUUUAAUAUUGUCCACGUACGGGUUAAUUAUUCUAAGUAAGUGUUGUAUUCCAUUUAUAAAAGUACUACGUCAGAUAGAACAAACAGAAUAUCUUCAUACGAAACAAAAUUAUAAACUCUAAACCUAACCUGCACACUUAAAUACUAAACUAUAAACUCGAGUCUCUAAAUCUAAACCCAAAUGUUAAAUUUAAUUUAAAGUUACAAUAUUUUAAGGAAAACAACAAAAAAUAAUAAAUAUAUAAAUUUUGAACUAUUAUUCUAUAUUAUCUAACAUGGAAUGAAGACUACUCUUGUAAUUCAACCCCAACCCACCUCUAACCCUAAACCCAACACACCUUCAAGACUGAAAUACUAAACCCUAAACUUGAAUUCCUAAACCCAAAUCUAAAUGUAAAAUAUUUUAGAUUAAAUUAAAAUAUGAAAAUAAUAUAUAAUAUUUUGUACUAUCACCUAUACUAUAUAAAAUGGAAAGGAAAAUAGACUUGAGAAGAAGUACUACACCCUAAACUCUAAUCACUAAACCCUAAAUCCCUCAAUAAUUAACCAUAUAACAAUCUUACCAUAAACCUCUAUAUAUUUAACCUUAAACCAUAAUCACUAAUCCCUAAACUCAAAUAUAAACCCUAAAUCCAAAUAUAAACCCUCAACCUAAACUAGAUAAAUAGUAUAGUACAUAUUGGUGAAUUUUUAAAAUUUAUAUGAUAUCAUGGAAAAAGUUAAUACUAACUCCAAAUAAUAUCAUGAAAUGUCUAUGAUAUCAUGAAAUGUCUAUUUUUUGCAAUUAUAAUAGAAUACAACAAAUAGUAAAGAUCAAAUAUUUCAUUUCACAUGAAUGGUCUUUCUAUUCUACGUACACACGAUCUAUUCCACUUAUAUACACAUUGCAUUAUUACAUAUAAAUGAGAAUAUAUUCACCAGAUGGCUCAAAUCCAGUUUCGAACAAUCUACUUGGCAGCCUAAUCUUCCAUUUGUAACCUGAGAAACAAAAGUGAAAGAUAAAGGUGUUAGGAUUCAUAUAACAAAGUAAAUGUAAAUAAAUUGUAUAGUAUAACAAUAAUGUGGAUUGAAAACCAUGUAAGACGUUAGGAAGAAGAAGAAGAAAUGUGUGACUUUCUCAUGACCACGUUUAAUUUUAACUCUCUUGAAUAAUUUUUUUUUCUUUUAAAUUGCAGGUUUAGCCGGUUGCAUUGAAGGUUAGAAGUGUAAUAUUAUAUAAAAUACACUUUGUAUCGAUGUAUUCUAGGGUAUUUGGCUACUGAUCUAAAUAUUGUUUUUUUUGUAGCCAUACCACCUAAUUCCCCCUUUUAAAAGGGCAGGUAUAUUUUUUGUUUUACAUAUUUUUUAAAAAAAAAAAUUUAUAUUUCUGUUUUUCAUUGUUAUCAUAUUUGUGUUUUUCUCUGUAAUCAUAUAAUGUAAAAUAUAUAUUUUAAAUUAUUUGUAAGAAGUUUUGAUAAUUCUAUUGAAUUUGUGAUGUUACAUAACUAUACACUUGUGCCAUAGUAUUUUUCACACGUUUGUUUUGUACUUCAUUCCUAAAUGGUUAUUAUUAUUUUUUAAGAAAGUGUUACAAUUUUGUUUAGUAAUUAAAUAGAUUAAAUUUUAUGUUCAUUAAAUUUUCAUGAUUUGAUUUUAUAUAUAAUGACAAUAACGUUAUCAUUAUACAUAAUAGUACACAUAAUAACUUUUCAUGUAAUUAAAAAUGGGUUUUGUAAAUUUUGAUCCAAUCUAUCAUCAUCAUCAUCAUCAUCAUCAUCAUCAUCAUCAUCAUCAUCAUCAUCAUCAUAUACUAAAAGGAACAUAUAAAGCUCCCACAUUGCUCCUCAGAUUAAUUAUAAUCAACCAAUCAGAAUUCAUUAUUUUUGCCAUGUCACACUCUAAUUGGGCUGAUUUUGUUGCUGAUCCGUAAGCCCACAACAUUGUUAGGCUAUAUUAGUUAUUAAUGCACAUGUUUUGUUAUUAAUUAGUAUAUAUGAUAUUUUGGUCCAGUAGCCCAAUACACCAGAAUCCUUAAAACGCAGAUCUUGAUCAUUUCUUCGACAUCCUCUCUUCAUCGUUUCAUCUUUUUUUUUUUUUGAAAGAUUCAUCGUUUCAUCUUCCUCAACGGUUCGUCGAUCAAUCAGCACACUACUCCAUAAUUGAUCAAUGAAUCCUCCAGAAAUCCCACUUAUGUCUUCCUUUCACCUUCCUUCCUCUCAAUUUCUAUAACAUUCCUCCCAAUGGAUGGUAAUCCACCAAAAAGUCUUCCGUAGCCAUUGGCAAUGCCGAAUUUCUAGAUCGAACGAACACACAUGCCUUUCAUAUGUUCAUGUCUGCCUUUCUUCAGGUUCCAACUCCCUUUUUCACAAUAUAUAAACAUAUCCUCUGAUUCUAUGCUCCACCAUCAUACACGACAAAUACAUCACGGCGAGAGAGGCAUGCUUACAGGUAUAGACCCGUAACUAUGAUGAGAUUAUUUGAUUCCCUCAGACUCUAUACGCUUACUAUUGGUUCAGCUAAUUCACCAUAGCCAUCACCCAAUUCUUCAGUGAUGUAUCUGCAGGCUUGGUAGAAGCGGAGAUGCGUUACCAGUGAAUCCAGUUCGGUCAAACAACAGUCUCUGAAGCGGGUCGAAUCAUGGUAUGUAUAUCCAUUCUGUUACUCUCCUCUCCUCAUAGCUGAACCAUCUAUUUCUGCAAUGUUUGUUUCUUUCUUAUUUUCGCUUUGUGGGUUAUUCUUCCGAUGAUCUGGAAUCUGAAAAGUUUCAAGAUUUGCGAUGAAAUCUUCUCACUGACUUUAUAAGUUUAUUUGGUUGCAUUUCAGUUCACUUACACUCAAACCUGGUAAAAUAACUUCUUUCUCUUUAGUUGUAAUUGAUCAAAAUUGUUUAGUUACAAACAUCGGAUGCUCAACUUUGUGUUCGAAACUGUAACUUUUCUGAAAAUAUUGUUAUGUAAAAGUCAAAAGAUUGCAUUUUUAUGUUUCUUGAUAAGAAUAGAAGCCUUAAAAUGGCUAUUGAUCCCAUAAUGUUUAGUUAAGCUUUGUGACAGUGACUGUUAAAUCGCUAACUUUUGUCACCAUGUGUCUCUGUUGGUAACAUCUGAUAGAAAUCCUAGGAAGAUAGCUACAAGGUUACUUGAUCCUUUUCUUGCUCACUUGAAGACAACACAAGAUUAAGUUGCUAAAGGUGGCUACUCAAUUGUUCUCAAGCCUGAGGAUAGUGACGGUGCGACUUGGUUCACUAUUAGUAAGUAAACAUUUGUAAAACACCGUCACUAAUUUCUCACUUAAUCUUUGCUUGGCAGGUUUUGACAACGGUUACAUUCACUGAGAUCCUCCCGUCGACAAAAGCCAUCGUCUCUUUCAAAGUCCCUGACAACAGUUCUGGCAAGGUUUAAAAAAUAAUAGUAAUAACCCUUUUGUGUAUGCAUUUCAGUGGUUUUGAGAUUGAUACCAUCAACUUAUGAAAUCUGUUAACAACUUGAGGUCCAGUACUUCCAUGACCAUGCAGCAGUCUCCGUACCGCAGCUUUGAAGCAGAACCCAUUGAUCGAUGUAACAGCCACUCUAGAUACACCAGUCAUUUGGUGCUGACGCUGGAUAUGACACAUCCUCCAAAACUUUCACCAAGUACAAUGCUAGAAACGUUACAAAGUACACUGAAUCAUUAUUCUCCACUCCUCACGCAAUCCAUCAUUGAAUGCAUAUACCAUUACUUCAUUUCUCUGAAUCCUGGAGAUUACCUCAACUAUAAAAAGGAACCAAAACAGAAUAACCUUCGUCAAAAUACUUUGGCACUGUAUUGUCUACAUGAGAUAACAAUGAGCAAGUAACACAGGCUCUUAUGAAUCCCCUGAAGCUGCGGAAACAUGAUCAGAGGUGUGAUUCCUUGCUUUGUUUUUUUUUCUUCGGUUUCUUCAAUUUAGUGUCCACGCAACUCUUUGUUCUAUGGUUAAUUUCUAUACACAUUGCCACCAUUGAUUCCAGAUUAUAAUAAUUCAUUGUGUUUUGGAGUUCCUGCUGUAGAUAUAUGUCUAAGCCAUUCCUCAUGUUUUGAUGUUUGAUAUAUUGUUAUAACUGAAAGUCAACUGGUACAAAUAUUAUUCUUGGUAUUAUAUAUUGAUUCAAUAUUUUUGAUCCAGUCACUAGAAAGACAAAAGUGAAACUGUGAAGAAAGGUAAUAGUACUCUUUGAUCAAUAUAAGAAUUCCUUUCUUGGUUCGAUGAGUGUGCUAAUCUCACAUGGAUCCUCGACAAUCUUUUACCAAAAAUCCAAACUAAAAGUUGGUUGUUAUAAUACAAGUUUUGUUGUACUUAAGGGAAAUGUUAUGUUAACGAAAUAGAAAAAGAAACUACAAGUCUUACAAACUUAUUACUAACCAAGUAUUUUACUAUUGUAGUUUCAAAAAGAAAAGUAUUUUACUAUUUUCAAUCAAAUGACAUUUUCUAAAAAAUAUGAUAUUAUGAGUACUAAUCACUGAACAUUUAAACCUAUACCGUUUCUAAGUUAGUUAAAAUACAUUUGAUCCCCCUUCUAAAUCAACACAUAUAUUACUAAAAUAUUAAUUUCAUAUAUUUAGUUAUUUACAAUAUAUAAAAUAUCAAUAAUAUUUUGGAUGCAAAAAUUUGAUCAAAUAAAUAUAAGGGGACAUAUUUUCAACCCAUAUAUAAAAAAAGCUCAACACGUUAAAUAAUAAUAAUGUAAUCAGUAAAUAGUUAAUCAAAAAUUUAAGACGAAACAUUUAUAAUUUUCUUAUUUUAAGAGUGUGAACAAUGGUAAAGUAAAAAUAUUUCUUUGUAUGCUUGAGUAUAUGAUAUAUAUUAUAUUUGUUUAGUAAUUUUCACGACACUAUUAAAAAGAAUCCAUUUCAUCAGAAAUAAUAUAUAGAUUAUUCAAAAUUUCAAUCAAAAAUGAAAAAAAACUAAAAUUUGAUAUUAUAUCAUAUAUGAUAUCAAAAGAAGUAGCAAGAGAAAAAAAUAAAAAUAAAUCAACAACAAAGAAAUUAUUCUAUCAACAACAAAGAAAUUACUCCAUCUACAACUCAUGAGAUAAUAAUCAAAGAAAUACAACUAAUAACAACUUCUCAACAUCAUCCGGACUAUUUAUGUAUUCAUAACUUAGUUUUGGUAUUUUAGAAAACUAAAAAAUAUAUAUUUUUGUUACAUAAAAAUGCAAGAAAAAAUUAUAUGUAACAUUCACCCAGUAAAAAGAGUAAUAUGUUCACAUGAAAGUUCUACAAUAUUCUUCAUAAAUUAAGGUUUAUAAAUAAUUAACCCGGGCGUAGCCCGGGAAAGGACCUAGUAUAAAUAAAAAAGGUGCACCGUAGUUGUUAAAAACCAGUUGUAUUUAUUUAAUAUGUUUACAUUGUUUGGUUUAUAGAAACCAAUCUGGUUCAUGGACAUUUCUUGGGUGGGGAGUGAGCUUUGGUGAUAUCAACAACGCAAGUUUUAUAUGGACCACUGAGGAGUAUUAAGAUCGGAUUGACAUAAUUUAUAUCAUAAAAUGUUUUCUCCACUGUAUAAGAUCAUGACUUCUUUCGAUGUCUCUCUCUGCAUCUUCCUGUGUAUAAGAUCAAACUCUUCCCACAUCAUUUGCACUCUGAAAAUUCUCCAUUUG